GACCUAGGAACUGAUGAGGAGAUA
rnacentral:siRNA from 1 species